rnacentral:rRNA from 1 species
CCUACGGGAGGCAGCAGUGAGGAAUAUUGGUCAAUGGGCGAGAGCCUGAACCAGCCAAGUCGCGUGAAGGAUGAAGGAUCUAUGGUUUGUAAACUUCUUUUAUAUGGGAAUAAAGUGAGGAACGUGUUCCUUUUUGUAUUUACCAUAUGUUUAAGCAUCGGCUAACUCCGUGCCAGCAGCCGCGGUAAUACGGAGGAUGCGAGCGUUAUCUGGAUUUAUUGGGUUUAAAGUGUGCGUAGGUGGUUAAUUAAGUUAGGGGUGAAAGUUUGUGGCUCAACCAUAAAAUGGCCGUUGAAACUGGGUGACAUGAGUAUAUUUGAGGUAGGGGGAAUGCGUGGUGUAGCGGUGAAAUGCAUAGAGAUCACGCAGAACUCCGAUCGCGAAGGCAGCCUACCGGCGCGCAACUGACGCUCAUGCACGAAAGCGUGGGUAUCGAACAGGAUUAGAUACCCGAGUAGUC